GUUGAUUUAUGAAUUCUUGUUGUGAUAACAUUUCUCACAAAGUUAGCGUGUCACGGUCGUACGCAUACAUUAACAAAGAUCAUCAUUCAGUGGCCAAAUUAAGUCAUCAUAAUACAGAGCUUCACAACGGCAAGCACCUCUGUCAGUGUGUGUCUUCAUAUUCUGCUGUGUAUGCCAGUUAAUUAAAAACCAAAUCAAACGAUAACCACCCGCACAGCACGAAAGAUGUAUAGGGAUCUUCUAUACCUGAAUAAAAUUAAGCAGCGGGACAAGUUGUUUGUCUAGAAAGCGCACAGAUUGAUAGCUUGUUAUUCGAUGCCAUUGGUCUGCCAGUUUGAAUGUUGACAAGUGACGUGGGAAAUUGGAUGCUGCCAAUUUCAAAGUCACCCAACUGUGUACGCAGUAAAUAUCAACCGUGUGGAAAUGUAACGCUGAUCAUGGCAUAGAUUUGAAACCUGUUGGCAACCAGCAAAAAGGCCAGUUUCACUAUACAUGUUCUCGUCCGUUCUCCGUGUCUUCUUGCUUCUGGUGCCCGAUAAGGGUAAAUGGUUCGGUGAGGGGGAGUGUUGAAGAAGCUUGUUAAGUUUUUGAGUCAGAGGCCGCCGCUGAUGGCUGUAGUGUCGAAAUUCAUAGCUUUUCUGGCGGUCCGAGUUUCAUCUUUCGCAGCGCGCUGCCUUCUCAAACAUGGGAGCCCUUGUGCUUUAUGAGAUUGUUGCCAACGAAAAAGAAAAAUAAAAAAAGGAAAAAGAUACAGCCUUAUAUUAUAUGCAUAUUUCUGGUGUAUAGUAGCCUUCUGCUCCGCCCUCUUGCCCGUUUUCGAGUGUAACUUGCUUCUGCUGUUGCUGCAACGUUUCUCUCUCAACCGUUGCGCCCUUUCGCUCCCUCCUUUUUGAGAAUACAUUUUUAUGUAAAUGAGAAAGAGAAAAUAAAGAGCCGCAUAAUCCUGCGCUAACAUUUCUUAUAUAGUGUCGUUGCAGGUUUGUUUCUUUUACCACCGACUUUUAGCGGAAAGAAAGGCUACAGACGUUGACUUGACGGUUUUCUCGGGUAUUGCACACGUCGUUCUUCUUGGAAUUCAGCCGCUUUGUAUUGUACGGUACAUCGCUGCAGCGUAGCGAUUUCAGAAAAUAGGAAAAGAUUAGCAUCGGCAGGACGUUAGUGCGCUGAAUAGUUAAUUCCGUUUUCUAAUGGUUUUCUAAGAAUUCUCGUCGUGACAUUUAACGGCCAAUAUACGGGUGUGUUUCGGAAACUCUUGUUUUUCGUUAUCAAUGGAGGGUGGAAACAAAACAAAAAGUGUUGGACUUUCCAAAAAAGAUUUUCUGCUCAAAGCAGAUUAUCUCCGAAAGACAGAUAACGCCGAAGCUCUUUCUCGAGUGGAAUCAGAUGUGGAAAUCAUUAAGUUGCGCGUUGGUUGGUACGUGCGGCUCCUAUUCAUAUAUAAGAUAGCCUUAGCGCUGGAAGAAAAGAGCGAGGGAGUGUUGGGAGCUCGUCCGGUCGAAAGUUCAUCAAGCAGAUCUUUGGGAGGAUUCAAUUUCUCGGAUAUUCCGCCUCAUUUGUCUUGUCCAAGGACUAUAGCCACCAAUGUCUUUCUUUUUGUGUGUGUGUGUGUGUGUCUUUCUGCUUCAUGUUUUCGUUCAAAUGUCUUUGCCCUUUUCUUCUUUUUCAACAAGACAUUAUUGAAAAAUUUUCUCCUUUCUUUCGGCGUCGGGUGACAUUGCGCUUCUGGUUUCUCUCUCUGUGCGCUUUUGUAGAGAGGCUGUUAUUUUUGAAUAUUUCGGUUUAAAAAAGAUUUCGUUUUCUUUCCUCCCACGCGCAUCAAACGUAGAGAAACUAGCGGCAACCCAUCAAAAAUGAUGGAAAGUUUCGCUUGUCGGAACCACACUUGGAGAAAUGACUAACGAACGCGGUCGUCUAUACAAUCCUGUCUGUGUGUGUAACUAUGUGUGUGUGUGUGUACAAGCUCGAGGGCAACAAAACGAGAUGUUAUGGCGUGUUGUUGCUGUUCCCGACGACACGGCGUCACCUUCUCUUGGCAAUAAAAAUUGUUUAGAAAAACAAAACAAAAAAUAGAAAAUAAAAAACAGGGAGGGAGAAGUGCCAUUCAGGAAACAGAUUAGGCACCACGUCGUUGCCGCAUAAUGUUGCAUAACAUCAUAAUUCUUUAGCGAUCAGAUUCUAUCGUUUUGGGAAAAUUGCCCAAAAGAUUUUUCGCUACCUACAAGCGAGGCAAUCUUCGUGGUAGCAUGGAUAUAAAAAAAAAAAAAAAACAUGUGAAGGAGAGACUGUAUGAAAUCAUGUGCACCAAGCUGAGCUCAUCUGUCAAAUUGGCAGGUGGCGGCUGAUGGAGCUGAUGCAAGUGGGCACAAUUCGUGUUUAAAAAGAAAAAAGGGGGAAAUUCUCUUACUUUUCAAACCCACAAAUAGAAGUUGAGGUUUCUCUUUUGAGUUGCGGUUACCGCCAAAACGGCGACAGCUUACCUUUUUACCUUCCUUUAUAAAGAAUGGAAUGAAGGUUCAGAAAGGCCUAUGUGCGUAAAGAUAGUGAUUGAGGUGAACCGUUUUAUGGAUUGGUCUCAAAACACGAGUCUUUUGUAAAGACCCAGAAAUGAAACAUGUGGAAAAAUGUGGUGUUUAUCCAAGAGGUCUAGCAGUCCUGACUGAAUUAGAGUGUCUUUAUACAAGCCAUAUAAAAGAAAAAAUAUACUUUCACGUGCGUCGCCAUCAGCGUCAACAAUCAUCCCCCCGCAUCAACUAUUAUUACCAACCCUCAUUUAUUGAAUUAUCCUGACCAUUUUUGUUUUGUUUCGUUUUCUUUCUUGCUUAUUUCCAAGAGAACAUUUUUCUUUCUAUUAUAAGAAAAUCUGUUUUUUCUUUCCUCUUAAAACACGAGAAAAGAGGGGGCAGGGUAACCUGCUGAGUGACCCGUGCCUGUAUAUUCUACCCGUGCCCCCUAAUCGAAAUCUAAACCCAUUUUUUUCCUGGAGAAAAAGAAAAAAAAAAGAGAAAGAGAGACCACCUGUAUUGAACUAUUAUGAUUGUUAAAAAAAAAAUUGGCGUACUAAAAAUAAAGAAACUUUUGCUGCUCUGUACGCUAAAAUUUGAGGUUGGGCUCCGUAAGAGAAGAAAAGACAAGUAUUACCUAUAACUGCGCCAUUCAGCCUUGACAAAAACUGAUUGGAUUCUUAAGCUAUUACCAGGUAUUGUUUAUUUUCUUUCUCGUUUUAAUUAAUUACACAAGUCCUAAUGGCGAAUAAUUUUAAAAGCUCCAAGGCGGAUGCGGAAUAAAUAAUGCAGGACUGUUAACUGAGAGGGCUAAAAAGAACGAGAAAAGGGAUUUGUUGAUAUAGCCAGCAAUGAAGUGACUACCUGAUGUUGUUUUCGUGAUCCCGAUGAUCCCCAAAAUGGCACCGCCUUUAAAACGAGUCUUAAAAGCUUCAUGAUCUGUACAUAUUAGAAUAGAAGAAAAAAAAAGGGAAAUUUGCUUACAAUAAGAUCAGCGACCACCUUGAAGCUGAAUGAAAUGCCCUUCUUUUGUUGCGUAUAUGUUUUGAAUGCCUAAAAGUACUCUGGCUUCCUCGUUUUCUCUUUUAUCGUGUAGCUAUACAUUCUAAUUCUUAAAUAAAAAAACACGCGUUCGAACAAGGACUUGCUAUUGUGUCCCGAGACGCCAUUUCGGUGUGGCCUAUUGUUUUUCUUUUGCUUCCAUUCUCUUGAAUGGAUUGAUUUUUGAAAACCACAAGAAUCGCCACAGACAAAGUAGAAACAUUUAAUUGGCUCUAAUGGUUGGCUUAAUUGGUUUUCAUAUUGUGCCAUGAAUCGGACCAUCUUUCUUCCUCAUUUAUUGUUCCAAUGUUUAUGAGCUGUCCUUUCUCGACGAUUGAGUUAUUGAUGGAGCACUUCUCAGCAGGUCAUCAUUAGAUUUUUUGAUUCACGUCAACGAAGGAGGACAUGCGGAACGUAAAGAAGCGACCUUUAUUAUUUCCAUCAUUUUCAGAGAAGAACGCGUGAUUAAUGAAUUGAGGGGAAAGACAAAAAAAAAAAGAGAGAGGCUCGUGUGCGAUUUUACGAAAUAAUGAAGCACGUGAUGUAGAGAACCCCCCCCCCUUUUACAUAUUUUGACAGCCAUUAUUUGAUGCAAGGUAGAUCCACUGGCCAGUGAACGCAGCGGGGGUUAAUCCGCUUUUGUUUUCUCUUUCCAGCCGCGCUUCGUCGGUCGGCGGUCCCAAUAAACUUGCGUUUCUUGCUGCUUCUAUCAUUAAUUUAUUACGCUUCCUGAAGAAAGUAUGAUAUCCCCCCAAAAAAAAAAAAUCCGUAUCGCUCCCUAACCCCCACCGUUAAAUCCCACCCAUUCUUUUUCAAAUGCAUUAAAGAGAACGGAACUAAGAAUGGCGCUCUUCCGUAUAUAUAUAUGUCUUACCUGACUUAUACUCUUACUACAUAUUUUAUAAAUCAUUGCAUCUUCUUAUGUUUUGUGAUGACCACUGCACAAAGGCCAGAAAAAAAGAAAGAAAUUGAAGCCAAGAAACAUUUCCGAAAGGGAUGAUUGGGCUUGACUUUUGAAGCAGCCUCAAACACGAUGGUUAAAAGGUUGACCUCAAACCAGAUGAAUCUACUCUAUUCAUAGUUAGUAGUCUACAACACGUAUUAUACAUAUAUAUAGGUCUCUCGUUCUAUUUUUUAAAGGGGGGUGAGACACAGCAUGCAGUCCAAAGCGGAGCUUUGACUUUUAUGAAGAUUCCUUUCUUUUUUCUUUCCUCUCUCUCUCCUUUCUCUCUCUCCCUUUUUUGUUCUUCGACCAGCAAUGGGAAAAUCGUUAUAGUUUUGAUGGUGUUCGAUGGGUCCGUGCUCUCCAUACCGGCGGUACGAUAUCUACAAGGUAAGAUAUACACACAGAGUACCGUAUAUUCGUACAUGCGCCUCAAGUUUUUGGACCGCAACGCGCCAUUAUUGUCCCAGUCAGCGGGGUGCUAAACCUUCGGCUUAAUUUCCAGUAGUCUUCACCUUUGCCAUUCGCUGUUCGACUCUUAUCGAUGGUCAGCGUGCUCCGACCCCCCGAUGGCGCUCUGGAACCAAACUUCUGUAAAAAAUAUAAAAUAAAAGUUCGGCAGAGUUUUACCAUUUUCUCUUGUUUCGUCCUUUUUGCCGAAACAAAAAGAUACGAGCACCACCAAAAGGGACCAAUCGAUAAUGAUCACCAGAACUGAUAGCGAGUGUCCUCUUCCGUACUCCACUGACUUUUCUUUCAAUUCUUUUUUAUGUGUUUCCUUAUACGUCAGCAUGGAGGGUUUCCCCCUUGUGUUUGCGCUCUCCUUGUCGGUAUCUUCCUAUUUCAGGCCGUUUGAAUUCUCCCGUCAGACCUUCGUAAGAAACAUUGUAAGCGAAAAAAAAUAAAAUAAAAAUAAAAAUAAACUCAUUUUACCGUUUACUUGUUUCCCUUAUACUUUUAUUCUUACGACAAACGAGCCUCCAUACGUUUAUUUAACAUUAUAUAUGGGUGUAGGUAUAUGCAGUCCACGUAGGAGGACUUUUAGGUCAAAACAUUUUGCUUGACUACAUGGUAUAUGUUCUCAGGUAAGAGAGAGAGAGAGAGAACACCUGAAAGGUUGGGUUAGAUCGCAAUAGAUGGCAGUAAGCAACAGGUUUGUCUCCCUUUAUUUUAAAUAGAUGCACAACAGUUUUUGAUUGCGUGUAAAGGAAAAAACAAAUUGAGUCCCUGCUGGACGGGAACGAAUCAACGAACAGAAAAAAAAAGGUAAUGAGACUCGUAUUUUCUCGUUAGCGGUGGCACAAGCUGUACUGUGGUGUGUAGAUGGUCAUCUUGUAAUAAAACAACUAAAAAGGGAUUUAUUUAUUAUUUAGUUGUACGAGUCAGUCACUCAGAUUCAAUACGCCAAUGGGCAUUAAUAAUGCUUAAUACUUUUUUUGAAACAAGAAGAUUGCUUCUCUGUUUUCUAUUUUAAUGGCUGCUCUUCAAAAAUGGGCGUCUCUGUCGACGUGAUUACACGUCCCUUUGGCCGUUUAAUGUGAUGACUGUGGCCAACCCCAACCUAGAUUUCCAUCCAAAGCCAAAGGCUUUCUCCCAUUUUCCCCGCAAUCAUUUGGAAAGAACUCGCUGGCUGAAAAACAAAAUGCAAACAACGUGUAUACGUUCUGAUGAACAAUAAUCAACGACUGAAGCGAAAAAAAAAAAGAUAUUAAAAACUGACACGCUGUAUAUGUAUGUUUCUGAUAUGAUCUACCGUUUUUAAGUUUUCUACUGGAGACCCUUGCUGUAUAUUGUUGUAACACGUGGAAGAUUGACUUUUGUUCCACCUGGAAGAGCCGUCAGAUUCUUUCUACGUUCAUUUGACUACACGAGGGACACGGACUUUACGACGUUUGCCUUACCGUCUCCGGCCACGCUUAACCGCAUCUGACAUCAACGCAGUUGUGAGUUUGAAUCGUGAUGACCUCGUUUGCAGAACAUUUCGAACUCAGCAGCUGAUGUCACGCACACCUGGGCAUCAUGAAGGGGAGGGGAAAAAAAGAGGAUGAAAAAAAAAACGAGAAAUGGUAUCAAUUCAAUCUACUGUAAAAUUGCACCUGAAAAGACUUGUGUGAGACUUUAAAUAUUACGCUGGUCGGAGGAUUUAUAUGAUGCGUUGGCAGCUUUGAAAUGGAAUCAAAGUAAACGCCGUUAGGUGUGACAAAUAAUAACUGGAUACAGGAGUUGUGUUACUGGCGAGGGAGAAAUGCUAUCAACUUGUUUUGUUGUUGUUUUUUUUUUAAACUGAGUCCCAUUAUCUGUAAAAAGACGUGGAUAUCCACCUCAAUCCGUCCUCCCAUUUCUUUUUUUUAAUCGUGUCUGAAUAGUAUCCCAACAUGAAAUGAUGUAUACAAUAUAAUAUAUAUAGAAGAACCGAACGAAAUGGAAAAAAAAGAAAGAGAAGAGAUCAGAGGGCUGUGGAAAUUACACGCGAACCCCUGCGGUUUACUCAUCAAAACCUUUUUUUUGUUUC